UGAUUUGAGAUGGCCUCUCGCCCUAUUCAGUGUAACAGCUGUGGUAGUGGGUUUGGUCGCUCGCAUUUAAAUUGGAAGGGUAAUGGUGGACCGCACUUCUCCCUUAGUAGGACGUUGCGACCUGUCAAAUAAUAUCCUAAGUAUUUGGCUAAUUUGUCUGUUUUUAGGCAGUACUGAAAGGUAUUUCCUUUAACAGUUUUAGCCGUUUACAUACUGGAUAUAAUUGACAGUAACGAAUCAUGGUGUUGAGCCACUUACUUUGUAAGUGUCCUUUAUGGCUGUUUGCAAGUGGGUUGGUUAAUUAGUUUUAGUCGGAUUUUGGUCCGUCUAACUAUUCCGCCUACUGUUGGUAAACUGUUCCUUGGACAGUGCUUAUAACACCGGUCGGCAGCGAUUCAGGUUCAGGCUCUUAUCCGACCCGUCUGAAACACGGACCAAUAAAC
rnacentral:rRNA from 1 species